CCUACGGGUGGCAGCAGUGGGGAAUAUUGCACAAUGGGGGAAACCCUGAUGCAGCGACGCCGCGUGAGUGAAGAAGGAGGUCGGUAGGUAAAGCUCUAUCAGCAGGGAAGAAAAGGACGGGACCGGAGGAAGAAGCCGCGGCGAACUACGUGCAAGCAGCCUCGGUAAUAAGUAGGGGGCAAGCGUUAUCCGGAUUGACUGGGUGUAAAGGGAGCGUAGACGGCAGCACAAGUCUGGAGUGAAAUGCCGGGGCUUAACCCCGGAACUGCUUUGGAAACUGUGCAGCUAGAGUGCAGGAGAGGUAAGUGGAAUGCCUAGUGUAGCGGUGAAAUGCGUAGAUAUUAGGAGGAACACCAGUGGCGAAGGCGGCUUACUGGCCUGUACCUGACGUUGAGGCUCGAACGCGUGGGGAGCAAACAGGAUUAGAUACCCGAGUAGUC
rnacentral:rRNA from 1 species